GUUUUUAUAUGCCCGAAAGGGCAUAUUAUGUUAUACCCCCUGGCGUCCGUCUGUCUGUCUGUCUGUCUGUCCGUCCGUACGUCCGUCCGUCCGUCCGUUAGCAAUUUGGUUUCCGGAGCAUAACUUAAGUUCCAUUUGGCCCACAAUGUUCAAACUUCAUAGGAUGAUUGUCCAUAUUGGGUAGAAGACCCCUAUUGAUUUUGGGGUCAAAAGGUCAAAGGUCAAGGUCACUAUGACCUUAAAACUGAAAACAGUUUCCGGAGCAUAACUUAAGUUCCAUUCGACCAACAAUGUUCAAACUUCAUAGGAUGAUUGUCCAUAUUGGGCAAAAGACCCCUAUUGAUUUUGGGGUCACAAGGUCAAAGGUCAAGGUCACUAUUACCUUGAUACUGAAAACAGUUUCCGGAGCAUAACUUAAGUUCCAAUUGACCCACAGUGUUCAAACUUCAUAGGAUGAUUGUCCAUAUUGGGAAGAAGACCCCUAUUGAUUUUGGGGUCACAAGGUCAAAGGUCAAGGUCACUAUUACAUUGAUACUGGAAACAGUUUCCAGAGCAUAACUUAAGUUCCAUUUGGCCCACAGUGUUCAAACUUCAUAGGAUGAUUGUCCAUAUUAG